GUGAACGCUGGCGGUUGGCCUCACACAUGCAAGUCGAACGGCAGCACAGUAAGAGCUUGCUCUUACGGGUGGCGAGUGGCGGACGGGUGAGGAAUACAUCGGAAUCUACUUUUUCGUGGGGGAUAACGUAGGGAAACUUACGCUAAUACCGCAUACGACCUACGGGUGAAAGCAGGGGAUCUUCGGACCUUGCGCGAUUGAAUGAGCCGAUGUCGGAUUAGCUAGUUGGCGGGGUAAAGGCCCACCAAGGCGACGAUCCGUAGCUGGUCUGAGAGGAUGAUCAGCCACACUGGAACUGAGACACGGUCCAGACUCCUACGGGAGGCAGCAGUGGGGAAUAUUGGACAAUGGGCGCAAGCCUGAUCCAGCCAUACCGCGUGGGUGAAGAAGGCCUUCGGGUUGUAAAGCCCUUUUGUUGGGAAAGAAAAGCAGCAGGUUAAUACCCCGCUGUUCUGACGGUACCCAAAGAAUAAGCACCGGCUAACUUCGUG
rnacentral:rRNA from 1 species